rnacentral:rRNA from 1 species
UGUGUAGGCGGCGGGUUAAGUUGAAUGUGAAAUCCCUGAGCUCAACUCAGGAAUUGCAUUCAAAACUGGCUCGCUUGAGUGACUGAGAGGUAGAUGGAAUUCCCGGUGUAACAGUGAAAUGUGUAGAUAUCGGGAGGAACACCAGUGGCGAAAGCGAUCUACUGGCAGUCCACUGACGCUGAAACACGAGAGCAAGGGGAGCAAACA